AAGGUUGAUCUGAGUGAGAGAAGAAGAGUGUAGAAAAAGAGGAAGAGACGCCAUUUUCUGGUCCCUAGUCUUUGAUCGGAAGAGAUUGUUUAGAAUUUCUUUGGGAGUGAGCCGUGAUGGGAGAUUCCGAUGACGAUGUAGACUACAAAAGAAGUCGAGACAAGUUCCGGACAGAGCGCCGUGGGUAUGAGGGUAGUGAUAGGAGCAGUCCUCCUGCGAAUCUGAGAAGAAGUGCUGGUGGAGGUGGAGAUUGGGCUCGAGGAGGCGGAGGAAGCAGUGGCUCUUGGGAUCGACGGCGACCCUAUACAGACUAUCGACGCUACUCACCUACUCGAGGUGGAGGAGGAGGAGGAGGAGGAGGAGGAGGAGGUGGUGGACGCUAUGAGGGAGGGAGUCCACCUCAUGCCAAAAGGAUGCGAACAGAUUGGGAGGAUCGAGGCGGAGGAGCAUACUAUGAUUCGCAUGAAAGGGAGGAUGUGCAUUACGUUCGUAGCGGCCCGGCCUCACGGAACUAUGUCGGAGGAGGAGGAGGACGUCCCUCAUCCACCCAUCAAGCCUCGAGUGAGAAUGAUGUUGUACAACCUCCCAUGAUGAGCUUUAAGAGCUUCUUAGCUACACAGGAUGACUCCAUAUCGGAUGAUGAUGCAGUUAAGAAAUUUGCUGAGUACAAAUUAGAGUUUCGGAGACAACAGCUCAACGAAUUCUUUGUCCAUCACAAAGAUGAGGAAUGGUUCAAAUUGAAGUAUCAUCCCGAAGAAUCCGUAAAGCGUAAAGAUGAACAAAGAAAAAAUCUGAUGAAAAGAAUAGAAGUGUUCAACAAGCUCUACGACGAAAAGAAAUUUGAGGGAAAAAGUCUUGACGGAGACCAGUGUGAUCAAUUGGUUUAUCUUUUAGAUUCUGUUGUCAUUCUAUUGGAAGGAGGAACUGACAAUGAUCUCAAAAUUUUGGAUAAAACUGAGGAAGAACUAAACGGAGAAAAGAAUAAGGACGACGAAAAGUCAAUCGAAGGAGAUAAACCUGAAGAAGAAGAAGAACAAAAGGAUCCUAAAGCAACAGCACAAGAUGAAAUAGGAAAUGAUAAUGUAAACGGAAAUGUCAAUGAAGAAGCAUCAGAUUCGAUAAAAAAACCUGAAGAGUUUUUGAAUAAUUCUGAAGAAACAAAUAAUGAAGAGAAUGGUGAAGAAACUAGAAAAGGACGAAAAAGGAAAAGAAAUAAAGAAUUUGAUGAAAGUACGGGGUCUUCUUCGUCUGAGGAAGAAGAGGAAGAACUACCUCCAGGAAUGUCUAAAAAACCUGAUGAAGAGAAAAAGAAAGAGGAUACUCCGGAAGAAGAAAUGAAAGUUGAAGAAGUUCCCCCAGAAAAACCAACUGAAGUAGAAGAAGAAGAAGAAGAAAAAACCCCCAAAGUGGAAGAAGAAGAAGGGGAGAAGAAAGUGGACGAUGAUGGUGACGAACCUAGAGCUCUUCAUCGUACAGCUUCAAUAUUUUUACGUAAUCUCGCUCCUACCAUUACCAAACAAGAGGUUGAGGCCAUGUGCAAGCGAUAUCCAGGUUUCUUACGUGCUGCUAUCGCAGAUCCACAGCCCGAUCGUCGUUGGUUUCGACGUGGUUGGGUAACUUUCGAAAGAGGAGUAAAAAUUAAAGAAAUAUGCUUUAAUUUGAAUAAUAUUCGACUUAGAGACUGUGAAUUGGGUCCUAUUGUCAAUCGAGACCUUUCUCGACGCAUUCGAACAGUAAAUGGUAUAACAGUUGACAAGAAGAUAGUUCGCAAUGACAUUCGGAUUGCUGCAAAAGUAAUAACGAACUUGGACAAAAAAUGGGGUCUUUGGACCACUGCUAAAGACAAUUUCACUAAUGGUGAAUACGAACCUAUAACUGAUACUAUUGAAAACAAAAAUGACGAUGAUAAUUUGGGUCUUGCAUCAAAUAAUCCCCUUUUGAAAAAUAUAACCGAUUACUUGAUAGAAGAGGCGUCUGCUGAAGAAGAGGAGUUACUUGGUAAAAAUAAUGAUCUUGAGGAUGGGGAAGAAGGUGAAGAGGGCAAUUCUAUCGUCAGAGAUCAAGAGCUUGUUAAAGUUUUAGACAGGCUUUUAUUUUAUCUCAGAAUCGUCCAUUCAGUUGAUUAUUAUAAUCAUUCAGAAUAUCCGAAUGAGGACGAAAUGCCAAAUCGAUGUGGUAUAAUGCAUGCCAGGGGAAUUCCUCCGACCUCUAAUGUUACUCCCGCUGAGAUGGAUGACUAUUGCAAUGUUUUUGAGAAGAAAAUGGGCUCCUUUCUUGUUCCAAAAACCGACUUGGAGGCGACUGAAGCCGCCAAGUUAGGAAUGAAAAGUGAAGACGAUGAGGUUGAAAAGUUUGUUCAAGCAAAUACUCAGGAGCUUGGUAAAGACAAAUGGUUAUGCCCCUUAUCUGGAAAAAAAUUCAAGGGUCCUGAUUUCGUCAGGAAGCACAUUUUUAACAAACAUUCCGAAAAGGUAGAAGAAGUUAAGAAAGAAGUCAAAUACUACAAUAGCUAUCUUAAAGACCCCAAACGACCUAUGCUUCCUGAACAUCCUUUUAAUAAACCGAACAACAGAGGCUCUCAUAGUUCCUCUUCGAAUAGUACUCGGGCGAACUAUCAUCAGCCAGAUCCAUAUCACUAUAGUGGGCAACCUCGUGAAGCCACAAGUUACCCAGUAUAUGACGACCGUCGUGAUCCUCCUUAUGGUAGAGAACGCUAUGGAAUGUCUGAUCGAGGGUACCGAGGCGGUGGUGGACCACGGCCUAGACAAGAUUACGGGCGCGGAAGAGUUCGAGAUAGAAUUGGCGUUCAUCCUGGGUCAGCUAGAUAUUAUGAGACUGAUCCUCGCGGUGUAAUUGAUUACAGCGAUGUGGACUUCAAUCAUGAUACGGAAUACUUUUAAAUUUAACCUCCAGGCUAAAAAACAGUACAUUGUACUUUUAUGAUAUAUAAGUUAUUGAUUCUCUCAAACCAGAUACGAUAAUUACGGACACGUGGGCGGAGCCAGCGGAGGUAGACCCAUUAUUACAUACAGAGAUUUGGACGCUCCACGAGAAGAGGAUUAUUUCUAAUUCUAAAGAAUAUUUAUAUUUAUUUUAAGUGUAUUUCUUAUUAUUUUUUCAGUACCUUAGUAAUAUCACUAAUUUUCUCACCUCAGUCUCCUACUAUUAUUCUUUGUCUUUGUUCCUUUAGAGCUAAAAGGAAAUAAAUGAAUUUAUUAUUUGAUAAAUUAUUACUCUCA
rnacentral:misc_RNA from 1 species